rnacentral:rRNA from 1 species
UGGGGAAUUUUGGACAAUGGGCGAAAGCCUGAUCCAGCAAUGCCGCGUGUGUGAAGAAGGCCUUCGGGUUGUAAAGCACUUUUGUCCGGAAAGAAAUCCUUGGCUCUAAUACAGUCGGGGGAUGACGGUACCGGAAGAAUAAGCACCGGCUAACUACGUGCCAGCAGCCGCGGUAAUACGUAGGGUGCAAGCGUUAAUCGGAAUUACUGGGCGUAAAGCGUGCGCAGGCGGUUUGCUAAGACCGAUGUGAAAUCCCCGGGCUCAACCUGGGAACUGCAUUGGUGACUGGCAGGCUAGAGUAUGGCAGAGGGGGGUAGAAUUCCACGUGUAGCAGUGAAAUGCGUAGAGAUGUGGAGGAAUACCGAUGGCGAAGGGUAGCCCCCAUGGGCCAAUACUGACGCUCAUGCACGAAAAGCGUGGGGGAGCAAACAGGAUUAGAUACCCC